UCGAGCGAUGGAUUAAGAGCUUGCUCUUAUGAAGUUAGCGGCGGACGGGUGAGUAACACGUGGGUAACCUGCCCAUAAGACUGGGAUAACUCCGGGAAACCGGGGCUAAUACCGGAUAACAUUUUGAACCGCAUGGUUCGAAAUUGAAAGGCGGCUUCGGCUGUCACUUAUGGAUGGACCCGCGUCGCAUUAGCUAGUUGGUGAGGUAACGGCUCACCAAGGCAACGAUGCGUAGCCGACCUGAGAGGGUGAUCGGCCACACUGGGACUGAGACACGGCCCAGACUCCUACGGGAGGCAGCAGUAGGGAAUCUUCCGCAAUGGACGAAAGUCUGACGGAGCAACGCCGCGUGAGUGAUGAAGGCUUUCGGGUCGUAAAACUCUGUUGUUACGGAAGAACAAGUGCUAGUUGAAUAAGCUGGCACCUUGACGGGGCCUAACCAGAAAGCCACGGGCUACUACGUAGCCAACAAGCCCCGGGAAUGCCUAAGGGGCUAACUUUAAUCCGGAAUUAUUGGGGCCUAAAGCGGCGCGCGGGGGGGGUUCUUUAAUUCUGAUGUUAAAAGCCCCCCGGCUCACCCCCGGAAGGGGCAAUGGGAAAAAGGGGGAACUUUCCGGCAAAAAAGGAGAGAAGGACUCCAUGGGUAGCGUGAAAUGCGUAGAGAUAUGAAGAACACCGGGGGAGGCGACUUUCUGUUUGUACUGCCAUGAGGCGGGAAGGGGUGGGAAGCAACCAGGAUAGAUCCCUGUUAUUCCCGCCGGUAAAGGAGAGUGUAAGGGUAGGAGGUUUCCGCCCUUUAGGUGCGAAAGUAAAGCCAUAAAGAAUUCCCCUGGGGAAGUCGGCCGCAAGGGUGAAAAUCAAAAGAAAUGGAGGGGGGCCGGCACAAGCGUUGAAGAUGGUGGUUUAAUUGGAGGCAAGGGGAGGAACCUUCCCAGGUCUUGCCAUCUUCGGCCACCCCUGGAGAUGGGGCUUUUCUUUCGGGAGCGGAGGACCAGGGGGGGCAGGGUGUUCUUCAGUUCGUUUGGGGAAAGGUGGGGUAAAUUCCGGCAAGGGGGGCACCCCUGGUUCUUAGUUCCCUUCAUUAAGUGGGCCAUUCUAAGGGGCCUCCGGUGGCCAACCGGGAGGAAGGGGGGGAGGAGUUAAAUUCUUCAUCCCCUUUAGGCCUGGGGUUCCCCAGGGGUUCCAAGGGAGGGUCCAAGGAGUGGCAGGCCGGGGAGGGGGAGUUAUUUUCAUAAACCGUUUUUCAGUUGGGAUGGUGGGUGGCAAUUGCCUUCCAGGAAGCGGGAUUGGUUAUUAUUGGGGGUUCACCAUCCGGCGGGGAAUAGUUUCCGGGCCUUGGUCCCCCCCCCCGGUACCCCCA
rnacentral:rRNA from 1 species